AUGGCUCAGGAUGAACGCUGGCGGCGUGCUUAACACAUGCAAGUCGAACGGAGCUUUUUUGAAGGAGACUUCGGUCAACGGAAGCUAAAGCUUAGUGGCGGACGGGUGAGUAGCGCGUGAGUAACCUGCCUUUCAGAGGGGGAUAACAUCCGGAAACGGAUGCUAAUACCGCAUAAAACAGCAGCACCGCAUGAUGCAACUGUCAAAGAUUUUUAUCGCUGAAAGAUGGACUCGCGUCCGAUUAGGUAGUUGGUGAGGUAACGGCCCACCAAGCCGACGAUCGGUAGCCGGACUGAGAGGUUGAACGGCCACAUUGGGACUGAGACACGGCCCAGACUCCUACGGGAGGCAGCAGUGGGGAAUAUUGCACAAUGGGCGCAAGCCUGAAUGCAGCAACGCCGCGUGAGGGAAGACGGUUUUCGGAUUGUAAACCUCUGUUCUUAGUGACGAAGAAGUGACGGUAGCUAAGGAGCAAGCCACGGCUAACUACGUGCCAGCCGCGGC
rnacentral:rRNA from 1 species